UGCCCAAUGCGGGAAUCGAACCCGGGUCGUAGCGGUCGAAAACCGACAGUUUAAACCACUCAUUCACCAACCC
rnacentral:tRNA from 1 species